rnacentral:rRNA from 1 species
GAUCUUGGUUCAGAACGAACGCUGGCGGCAGGCUUAACACAUGCAAGUUGAACGGGAUUGAUUGGUAGCUUGCUAUUAAUCAUGAGAGUAGCGCACUGGUGAGUAACACGUGGGAACGUACCUAUUGGUGGGGGACAACAGUUGGAAACGACUGCUAAUACCGCAUAAGCCCUGAGGGGGAAAGAUUUAUUGCCGAUAGAUCGGCCCGCGGAAGAUUAGGUAGUAGGUGGGGUAACGGCCUACCUAGCCGACGAUCUAUAGCUGGUCUAAGAGGACGAUCAGCCACAUUGGAACUGAGACACGGUCCAGACUCCUACGGGAGGCAGCAGUGAGGAAUAUUGGGCAAUGGAGGCAACUCUGACCCAGCCAUGCCCGCGUGAGUGAAGAAGGUUUUCGGAUUGUAAAGCUCUUUCAGAUGAGAAGAUGAUGACGGUAUCAUCAGAAGAAGCACCGGCUAACUUCGUGCCAGCAGCGGC